rnacentral:rRNA from 1 species
GAUGAACGCUGGCGGCGUGCCUAAUACAUGCAAGUCGAGCGAACAGAUAAGGAGCUUGCUCCUUUGACGUUAGCGGCGGACGGGUGAGUAACACGUGGGUAACCUACCUAUAAGACUGGGAUAACUUCGGGAAACCGGAGCUAAUACCGGAUAACAUUUGGAACCGCAUGGUUCUAAAGUGAAAGAUGGUUUUGCUAUCACUUAUAGAUGGACCCGCGCCGUAUUAGCUAGUUGGUAAGGUAACGGCUUACCAAGGCAACGAUACGUAGCCGACCUGAGAGGGUGAUAGGCCACCCGGGAACUGAGACACGGUCCAGAGUCCUACGGGAGGCAGCAGUAGGGAAUCUGCCGCAAUGGGCGAAAGCCUGACGGAGCAACGCCGCGUGAGUGAUGAAGGGUUUCGGCUCGUAAAACUCUGUUAUUAGGGAAGAACAAAUGUGUAAGUAACUGUGCACGUCUUGACGGUACCUAAUCAGAAAGCAACGGCUAACUACGUG